UAAUUCGUCUCUAUCUUCCUCAUUUAAAGUCCAAAAAGGCUGGAAAUCACUUUAAAUUAUACUUUGUCCCUUCCACAUAUUAAAAAAUAUGUUUUAUUGGGUGAUAUUUGCACUUUAUUAACUAAAUAAACUCUUUUUCCAAACAGUGAUUUUGCCAUUCCAUUUUUUUCCACUAGGUGGCAGUACGAGAUCACGUAUACAUGAAAUUGAAUUUUUCCCUUAUCCACCCUGCCACGGUGGAAAUGAGCACCUAAUGUCGGGGAGUUGUUAUUCCGGAAUAUGGACAUCCAACUUUCAUCUUUUUGACUUAGAUCCAGACAGGCACUCUCUACCUCAUGUCUGCGGGGAAAUGAGCACUCAAAGUCGGGGAGUUGAUAUUCUGGAUGUGCACUUCCAAAUUCCAACUUCUUGACUUAGAUCCAGUUAGGCACUCUCUACCACAUGUCUGCGGGGAAAUGAGCACCUAAAGUCAGUCAGGCAGCCAGCUGAUGUCCUGGUAGUGACAUGGUUUCAGGUAGGCACUCUCUACCACAUGUUUGCGGGGAAAUGAACACUCUAAGUCGGGGAGUUGAUAUUCCGGAAUGUGCACAUGCAAAUUCCAACUUUCUGACUUAGGUCCAGACAGGCUAUCUCCACUGCAUGUCUGCGGGAAAUGAGCACUCAAAGUCGGGGAGUUGACAUUCCGGAAUGUGCCCUUCCAAAUUCCAUAUAUUUAACUUAGAUCCAGGCAGGCUGUGUCCACUGCAUGUCUGUGGGGAAAUGAGCACCUAAAGUCGGGGAGUUGUUAUUCUGGAAUGUGCACAUCCAACUUCCAACUUUUUGACUUAGUUCCAGACAGGCAUUUUCUACCUCAUGUCUGCGGGAAAUGAGCACCUAAAGUCAGUCAGGCAGCCAGCUGAUGUACCGGUAGUGACAUGGAUGUAGGUAGGCACUCUCUACCACAUGUCUGCGGGAAAUGAGCACCUAAAGUCGGGGAGUUGAUAUUCCAGAAUGUGCCCCUCCAAAUUCCAUAUAUUUGACUUAGAUCCAGGCAGGCACUCUCGCUACCACAUGUCUGCGGGAAAUGAGCACCUAAAGUCAGUCAGGCAGCCAGCUGAUGUACCGGUAGUGACAUGGAUGUAGGUAGGCACUCUCUACCACAUGUCUGCGGGAAAUGAGCACCUAAAGUCGGGGAGUUGAUAUUCCAGAAUGUGCCCCUCCAAAUUCCAUAUAUUUGACUUAGAUCCAGGCAGGCACUCUCUCUACCACAUAUCUGCGGGAAAUGAGCACCUAAAGUCAGUCAGGCAGCCAGCUGAUGUACCGGUAGUAACAUGGAUGUAGGUAGGCACUCUCUACCACAUGUCUGCGGGAAAUGAGCACUCAAAGUCGGGGAGUUGAUAUUCUGGAUGUGCACUUCCAAAUUCCAACUUUCUGACUUAGUUCCAGACAUGCAUUUUCUACCUCAUGUCUGCGGGAAAUGAGCACCUAAAGUCAGUCAGGCAGCCAGCUGAUGUACCGGUAGUGACAUGGAUGUAGGUAGGCACUCUCUACCACAUGUCUGCGGGAAAUGAGCACCUAAAGUCGGGGAGUUGAUAUUCCAGAAUGUGCCCCUCCAAAUUCCAUAUAUUUGACUUAGAUCCAGGCAGGCACUCUCUCUACCACACGUCUGCGGGAAAUGAGCACCUAAAGUCAGUCAGGCAGCCAGCUGAUGCGGUAGUAACAUGGAUGUAGGUAGGCACUCUCUACCACAUGUCUGCAGGAAAUGAGCACUCAAAGUCGGGGAGUUGAUAUUCUGGAUGUGCACUUCCAAAUUCCAUCUUUUUGACUUAGAUCCAGGCAAGACUCUCCACUGCAUGUCUGCGGGGAAAUGAGCACUCAAAGUGGGGGAGUUGAUAUACCGGAUCUUGGAUCCAGAUCCAGACAGGCACUCUCUCUACCACAUGUCUGCGGGGAAAUAAGAACUCAAAGUCGGGGAGUUGAUAUUCUGGAUGUGCACUUCCAAAUUCCAACUUUCUGACUUAGUUCCAGACAGAUCCAGGCAAGACUCUCCACUGCAUGUCUGCGGGGAAAUGAGCACUCAAAGUGGGGGAGUUGAUAUACCGGAACUUGGAUCCAGUUCCAGACAGGCACUCUCUCUACCACAUGUCUGCGGGAAAUGAGCACUCAAAGUCGGGGAGUUGAUAUUCCGGAAUGUGCACAUCCAACUACUUGUACCUUCAGUGAAUAGACAUAAGGUAAUAGGUUGAAUUCCUGGAAGUAGAUGUUGCUUUGUUGGAAAUAUGUCUUUAUACUCAAAAAACACAUAAUUGCUAUUUAUUUUCAAAAUAACUUUUUUAUAUAUUUUUUUUUCAAUGUUAGGUUGAAUUCCUGGAAGUAGAUGCUGCUUUUGUUGGAAAUAUGUCUUUAUACUCAAAAAAACACACAUUUGCUUUUUGGAAAAGAGUUUUUUUCCACAAAGACACUUUGGAUUCCAGGUAUUGCACCUACCAAGACCCAAAUGGUAAAAAGAAAAGGCAACAUUGACUUUUAGAUAUUAGAGGUUUUUGUUUUUUUGAAUGACUGAAAGAUUUAAAUGGUAAGGUUCAAAAUAUACUUUAUUUAUAUUACAAUUUUAACAACAAAUAAAAAAAUAAAUACUACACAUUUUAAAUAAAUUUUAAAUACCACUUAGCUUCCGAUUCUGACUCUGAACCUGAACCUGACUGAGAAGCCCCAUCAGAACCAGACUCUGACACUGUUGACCCAGUUCCAGACUGAGACCCCCCAUCAGAACCUGACUCAGACCCCCCAUCAGAGUCAGACUGGGAACCCCCAUCAGAUUCCCCAGACCCUGAUUCUAACCCACUGACUGAUGAACCAGUCUCUGUUGCCUCCUCUCCCUCUGCAGGACCCUGGACUUCCUCCUCCUCCACCUCAGGUGCCUCAGCCCUCUGUGUCUCUCCCUCUGCAGGACCAUGGACUUCCUCCUCCAUCUGCUCCUCCAUCUCCAGUGCCUCAGCCCUCUGUGUCUCUCCCUCUGUAGGACCCUGGACCUGUGAUGGCCCUGGCAUCUCUGCCUGCAUUGCUGAUUUGUCAAAUUUGAAAAGCCAUCUUGAAACUAGAUGUACCGCAUAGCGGUACAAAAUAUGACCGCCGCUCAGUCCUGUACAUCCAUUCCGCGAAAA